rnacentral:lncRNA from 1 species
UUUGGAAGUCAAAAAUUAAUCAUGGUUUCGAAUGUAUAAAGGAUCGUGUCCUAUUGUGCUGGACGUGAUGCUGUAUUUCUUUGAAACAAGAGAAUUUUGACGAGCAACUUGAGCCAUCAAAUGUUUUAAAAGGAACUAUAUUUCAAAAUAUUUUAAAAUCUUAGACAUAAGGACAGUAAUUAAUCAAUUUGGUACCAAUUUUG